rnacentral:tmRNA from 1 species
GCUCGUGUCUGUCUGCGGGUCUUACCAUUUAACGAGCUACGUUUAACUACUUACCUUAAUAGUUAGAAAUAAGAUUCUUAGGUUAGUUUUGAUAGUUUAGCCCUGUUAUAUGGCGUUUUAUCAAAGCGAAUUUUAAGUAAUAUAACUAUGAUCGUAGAUGUUAACGACGAAAUACGUUUGGACAGGGGUUCAAUUCCCCUCAUCUCCAUAA